rnacentral:rRNA from 1 species
AUAUCCAUUAUGGAAAAUUCAACAUUAAUAUUAUAAUAUUUAUUUAUAAAUAUUAUAAAAAUAGUGUGCAAUUUUUCCAUAUAAGGACAUUGUAAUCUGUUAAUGUAAUAAAUAUUUAUCAUAAGAUUCAGUAUAUAAAAGUUUAUUCAAAUUAGUUAUUUUCCGAUUUCUAACAUAGAAUAAAUUUAAUUGAAUUUGAUAAAUCAUUGACAGAUUUAUUUAUAUAUAGUGCUUAAAUUCUUAAUUGAAUUUUACAAUAAUUUAUAAAUGUAUUUUCAUUUAUUUAUUUAUUGUAUGCACUUAUAUGAUUAACAAUGCUAUAGAUUCAGGAUACCUUCGGGACCCGUCUUGAAACACGGACCAAGGAGUCUAACAUAUGUGCAAGUCAUUGGGUAUUUUUAAUAAAACCCAAAGGCAUAAUUAACUUAACUGUUUUUUUAUAUGGGAUUAGUUUAUAUUUUAUUAUGAAAUAUUUAUUCAAUCCCGGGGCGUUCUAUAUAGUUAUGUAUAAUAAUAUUUAUAUUAUUUAUGCCUCUAACUAGAGCGUACCUUGAGCAUAUAUGCUGUGACC